rnacentral:lncRNA from 1 species
UAAAGGAAUAACUUAUCUCUUUGAAAAAUGGAGACAUCGUCUGCGGUUUAGCUCGAGCUUAGCGAGCUCUCCUUUCCACCUCUCCAUCAAGCGGUGGUCUUGACUCUUAUGAAGAGAAUAUUUAAUGGUUUCUUUUCUGGUUUUAUUCGUGAGAGAGACUCCCUAGAUCACGAGCUCUCCUCCAAAGGCGUAGAGAAUUAUAUCUUUUGUUAAGUGUGAUCUCAUGUAGAAAAAGCGUGAUUCCUUCUUCAUUUGUUUGUAUAUGUAUUUCCCGAAAAAAUCUGAUCCUUGUGAGAGAGACCUCUUACUCUCUUUUAUACCAAGAGCUCGUCUCCUUCCACUUCGUAGUGUUGUUGCACGUGACUCCACAUAUUUAGCUAUGACUUAUUAUUUGUUGACCAUAUUCGAAGAUAUGUGGAAAAUAAUCUUUUAGAUCUUUGACUCAUUCAUUAUCCAACGGGCUUUAUGGGCAGAUGUCACGUUCCAACUUCUAGCAGGCCCGUU